rnacentral:rRNA from 1 species
AAUAAGUAGUGUAGCGGUGAAAUGCAUAGAUAUUACUUAGAACACCAAUUGCGAAGGCAGGUCACUAAGUCUUAACUGACGCUGAUGGACGAAAGCGUGGGGAGCGAACAGGAUUAGAUACCCUGGUAGUCCACGCCGUAAACGAUGAUUACUCGUUUUUGGGUUUUAGGAUUCAGAGACUAAGCGAAAGUGAUAAGUAAUCCACCUGGGGAGUACGUUCGCAAGAAUGAAACUCAAAGGAAUUGACGGGGGCCCGCACAAGCGGUGGAGCAUGUGGUUUAAUUCGAUGAUACGCGAGGAACCUUACCAAGACUUAAAUGGGAAAUGACAGAUUUAGAAAUAGAUCCUUCUUCGGACAUUUUUCAAGGUGCUGCAUGGUUGUCGUCAGCUCGUGCCGUGAGGUGUUAGGUUAAGUCCUGCAACGAGCGCAACCCCUGUCACUAGUUGCUAACAUUAAGUUGAGGACUCUAGUGAGACUGCCUACGCAAGUAGAGAGGAAGGUGGGGAUGACGUCAAAUCAUCACGGCCCUUACGUCUUGGGCCACACACGUGCUACAAUGGCCGGUACAGAGGGCAGCUACCUAGUGAUAGGAUGCAAAUCUCGAAAGCCGGUCUCAGUUCGGAUUGGAGUCUGCAACUCGACUCUAUGAAGCUGGAAUCGCUAGUAAUCGCGCAUCAGCCAUGGCGCGGUGAAUACGUUCCCGGGCCUUGUACACACCGCCCGUCAAGCCAUGGAAGCUGGGGGUACCUGAAGUCGGUGACCGUAAAAG